AGUGAACGCUGGCGGUAGGCCUAACACAUGCAAGUCGAACGGCAGCACAGUAAGAGCUUGCUCUUACGGGUGGCGAGUGGCGGACGGGGGGGGAAUACAUCGGAAUCUACUUUUUCGGGGGGGAUAACGUAGGGAAACUUACGCUAAUCCCGCAUACGACCUACGGUUGAAAGCAGGGGAUCUUCGGACCUUGCGGGAUUGAAUGAGCGGAUGUCGGAUUAGCUAGUUGGCGGGGUAAAGGCCCACCAAGGCGACGAUCCGUAGCUGGUCUGAGAGGAUGAUCAGCCACACUGGAACUGAGACACGGUCCAGACUCCUACGGGAGGCAGCAGUGGGGAAUAUUGGACAAUGGGCGCAAGCCUGAUCCAGCCAUACCGCGUGGGUGAAGAAGGCCUUCGGGUUGUAAAGCCCUUUUGUUGGGAAAGAAAAGCAGCAGGUUAAUACCCCGCUGUUCUGACGGUACCCAAAGAAUAAGCACCGGCUAACUUCGUG
rnacentral:rRNA from 1 species